UAGCAGUCCAUUCACCCCCUCAAGCCUCAAGCCACCCGCAUCCUCGGAACGGAAUCCACGCUCCCCUUCGCUCACAGGGUUCCUUCCUUGAUUCCUGCCCUGACUGGUCAUGUGUUUAUCAACCUGACACAGGCUGGAGUUAUCACAGAGAAAGGAGCUUCAGGUGAAGAAAUGCCUCCACGAGAUCCAGCUGCAAGACAUUUUCUCAAUUAGUGACCAAGGAGGGAAGACCCCUUGUGGGUGGUGCCAUCCCUGGGCUGGUAUCCCUGGGCUCUAUAAGAGAGCAGGCUGAGCAAGCCAAGGGAAGCAAGCCAGUAAGAAACAUCCCUCCAUGGCCUCUGCAUUAGCUCCUGCUUCCUGCCCUGCUUGAGUUCCAGUCCUGACUUCCUUUGGUGAUGAACAGCAGUGUGGAAGUAUAAGCUGAAUAAACCCUUUCCUCCCCAA